AGCCCCACCCUUAUCUCCCUUUGCUGACUCUCUUCAGACUCAGCCCGCCUGUGCCCAGGUGAAAUAAACAGCCUUGUUGCUCACACAAAGCCUGUUUGGUGGUCUCUUCACACGGAUGCGCAUGAAAUUUGGUGCUGUGACUCGGAUAGGGGGGACCUCCCUUGGGAGAUCAAUCCCCUGUCCUCCCGCUCUUUGCUCCAUGAGAAAGAUCCACCUAUGACCUCAGGUCCUCAGACCGACCAGCCCAAGAAACAUCUCACCAAUUUCAAAUCUGAUCUUCUCGGUUUAGCAGCUGAAGACUGACGCUGCCUGAUCGCCUCAGAAGCCCCAUAGACCAUCACGGAUGCCGAGCUUUAAGUAACUCUCACAGUAGAAGAAGACAGGAAUGUCAGGCCUCUGAGCCCAAGCUAAGCCAUCAUAUCCCCUGUGACCUGCACGUACACAUCCAGAUGGCCGGUUCCUGCCUUAACUGAUGACAUUCCACCACAAAAGAAGUGAAAAUGGCCUGUUCCUGCCUUAACUGAUGACAUUGUCUUGUGAAAUUCCUUCUCCUGGCUCAUCCUGGCUCAAAAGCUCCCCUAUUGAGCACCUUGUGACCCCCACUCUGCCCGCCAGAGAACAACCCCCUUUGACUGUAAUUUUCCUUUAUCUACCCAAAUCCUAUUAAAGGGCCCCACCCCUAUCUCCCUUCACUGACUCUCUUUUCCGACUCAGCCCACCUGCACCCAGGUGAAAUAAACAGCCUUGUUGCUCACACAAAUCCUGUUUGGUGGUCUCUUCACACGGAUGCGCAGGAAAAUUAGUACUUAGGUUUUUGGGGAAUCAACAGUUGUGCAUGAAUUAUUGACUGCAUGGGGGGUAGGUGCCCACAUUGUUCAAGGGUCCACUGUAUAUACUAAGCCUUGUGUUAAAUGUUUUACAUUACAUUUUAUAUCAACAAUGCUGUGAGCUGCGCACUAUUGUUUUGCAUUUUAUACAUUUUACAUAAAGUCAAUAAGUGACUUGCCCAAAGAUCACAUAUAUAUAGUUAAGUGGCAGAGGUAGUAUCCAUUCCUUCUCUGUCAGUCAGGGUCAACCAUAGAAGUAGAGCCAAGAGUUGGCAGGAGUUUCUUCUUCCCUUGAGAAAACCUUAGUUCUGCUUUUAAGGACUUCCAGCUGAUUAUCCAGGAUAAGCCCCUUACCUUAGUCAACUUACUAGGGCUUAAUUAAAUCUGUAAAAUAUCCCCACAGCAACACCUAGAUCAGUGCUUUUCUGAAUUAAUUGGAACUGCAGCCUAGUCAUGUUGACACUUUAGAAAAGAUUAACUGAAAGUCUUACAUCUUUAAAGGUCUGAAAGAAACAUUUACCAUCUAUUCUCUUUGAGGUCUGCUACCUGUGAUGUUUCAUUUACAUAACAAAACCACCUUUCCCAGAUAGGCCUC